GAAAUGCGAUACGUAGUGUGAAUUGCAGAAUUCCGCGAAUCAUCGAGUCUUUGAACGCAAGUUGCGCCCGAGGCUUGACCAAGGGCAUUUCUGCCAGAGCGUCACCGCGACACCCACCAAACACACCUAUAUCCUAGUGCUGUGUUCGAGUGAAAGUGGCCAUCCGAAUGGGGCCGCCCGAGUUCGUUCUUGGGCGGCAGAUUGGGUUGGCUGAAAUGUAGGGAAUUUGACCGCCGUGGUAGAACAACCAGCGAUCAGGUGAUCCGGGUGCAAACCCGGAACUCAAACGUGCGCCGGUUGUGACACCCAGUUGGUUCCAAGCUCCAAAGCAGGUCUCCCUCCCUUCGCUCCGGUGAAGGGAAGGAAAAACGUCACGCAUCAGACCUCUGAUCAGAAAAGA
rnacentral:misc_RNA from 1 species